rnacentral:rRNA from 1 species
AUUGAACGCUGGCGGCAGGCCUAACACAUGCAAGUCGAACGAGUGGCGGACGGGUGAGUAAUGUCUGGGAAACUGCCCGAUGGAGGGGGAUAACUACUGGAAACGGUAGCUAAUACCGCAUACCAUCGGAUGUGCCCAGAUGGGAUUAGCUAGUAGGUGGGGUAAUGGCUGACCUAGGCUACGAUCCCUAGCUGGGCUGAGAGGAUGACGCGCCACACUGGAACUGCGAGACGGUCCAGACUCCUACGGGAGGCAGCAGUGGGGAAUAUUGCACGAUGGGCGCAAGCCUGAUGCAGACGUGCCGAGUGUAUGAAGAAGGCCUUCGGGUUGUAAAGUACUUUCAGCGAGGAGGCGUUACUCGCAGAAGAAGCGCCGGCUAACUACGUGCCAGCCGCCGCGGUAAUUC